rnacentral:rRNA from 1 species
UACGUAGGCAGCGAGCGUUGUUCGGAGUUACUGGGCGUAAAGGGUGCGUAGGCGGUCCCUUAAGUUUGGUGUGAAAUCUCCCGGCUCAACUGGGAGGGUGCGCCGGAUACUGAGGGGCUAGAGUGCGGGAGAGGAAAGUGGAAUUCCCGGUGUAGAGGUGAAAUUCGUAGAUAUCGGGAGGAACACCAGUGGCGAAGGCGGCGACCUGGACAGAUAUUGACGCUGAGGUGCGAAAGCGUGGGGAGCAAACAGG